UGUUAGAGCCAAGGGGCAUGGAAACACCGGGAAUAGAAACAAGUGGCUUGUGAAUAACAGGAAAACAUUCUGUAGGGUCAGUACUAAGCCCACACACCUCUUAACCAUUCAUCGACCUCGUCUGAAGUCUCGCCUGAAAGACAAUAAAGAACAAAGAUGCAACACAUAAGUGAACUAAAAAAAGGAAGAAAGCUCUGUUAGCAGGGUAGUGCUUUCCUGUUCAACACAUAGAAACUUGUAGCGACUGGAAGCAUUCAAGGCCAUUUUAUACCUCUAGUAAGUUGAUUUCCCUUGUAGUGCUUUCAAGAGUGGCAUACGGAGGUGACUCGGAGCCAGGCUGUCCUGCAAAGGAAAGAUGCUUCUGUCACACAAGAGUGGCAACAUAGCUUAGAGGUGUCCCAUCACCCUCACAGCUUUCAUGCCUAUCUGAGGUGGUCGACAUAGGUGAAGUUGGUGCUUUCGAAGGUGCCAGCACAGCCUCCGACACCACC